rnacentral:rRNA from 1 species
UACAGAGGUCCCAAGCGUUGUUCGGAUUCACUGGGCGUAAAGGGUGCGUAGGUGGUUGGGUAAGUCUGAUGUGAAAUCUCGGAGCUUAACUUCGAAACUGCAUUCGAUACUGCCGUGCUUGAGGACUGGAGAGGAGACUGGAAUUUACGGUGUAGCGGUGAAAUGCGUAGAUAUCGUAAGGAAGACCAGUGGCGAAGGCGGGUCUCUGGACAGUUCCUGACGCUGAGGCACGAAGGUCAGGGGAGCAAACGGG